AUGGCAUAUCCACAAAGAGGUCCGUGUGAGAACCGAGUUGUGAAGGAGGAGCGACAACCUCCGGUCCCACUCGUCAGACAUAUCCACAACCUCCAGCUCCGCCUCGGCCGCGGCAGCGACCGGCGCGCCGCUAUCGCCGCCAUCACCCUCCGCUCCGUCCUCCCUCUCCCUCGCAUGGUCUGGCCGCCUCUACGCACGCAAUCGAGCACGGCGAUUUGCCGUGCCCGGAGACCGCAAAAGCAGAGGAUGAGGACAAUCCUCUUGAGGCGAGCUUGGAAUGGAGUCCCCUCCCACGCCGCCGAUUGA
rnacentral:rRNA from 1 species